AGAGACAGACUGGGUUGGGGUAAAAUCAUUAGGGAUAUGACUAUCACAUUAAGGAGGAUGGACUUCGGACUUCAUGCUUCAGGAAUUAGAGAAUGGGUGUUGUUAAGGGGGAGAAUUUCAACAGCAAGCUUUCAGUUACUGUCAGUGUCAAUUAAUUCUCUGCCUUUUGCACCUCUGCAUCUUAAAGGAUGGGGAUAUUAAACACACUUAAUGCCAGUUUUUUUGUUUUUGUUUUUGUCACAGUAGCCCAUAGACAUAGAUCCUUAACAUGAGAGUGCUUCAUAAAAGUACUCCCAGGGAGGUCUCAUGGACAUAUAAUGAAGGGCCCCAGUCUGAUGAUGGCUCUCAGAAAUGUCAUCUAAAGCACCUUGCUAUUCCCAUGCUGAUUGAGAACCACUUUGACUUGGCUGCUGCAGCCUUGCCUUUGGAUUGAAUAAUGAUGUCCUCUGCCAUUUUCGGGAAAAGAAAUGACCAGAACCUGCCAUGGUAUGUUGGAAUUUUUUUUCCUGUAGAUUUUUUUUUAGCAGCCCAGGUAGGAAACGAGUAGUCUGUGUCAAAGAGAGCCUUUAUUUAGUUUAGACUGAAGUCCAGGCAUAAAACCAUCAUUAAAAGAUGAAAACAGAGUAGUCGCUUUUCAGGAUUAACUGGUUCUGGGCUUUAUUUGCGUAAGCAAAUUAAUGAGCUGGAAAGUCUCAUUUUUACAAGUGCUAAAUUGUAAAGGCACUACAGGGACAGACUCUUCAAUGUUAUUGGUGUCUGUUCAAAUGAGAGAUGGAAAUCUCGUGGAAUACCAAGGAAGCCUCCUGAUUUAAAAUAUGUCUUCUAAGUGUUAGCAACAUCAUUUCAAUCCCAGCAAAGAGGGAGAUGUCAGAGAACAUUUUUCAUUUUGUUUAUUGCAUAUUUUCCAGCAUGCAUAGAUAAUGCCAAAUUACCAACUAGAAAGAGAAUUUUAUGACAUUUUUCUGUCCAAGAUGGCUAAAAUUUUUAAUAGAAUCAUCUCUCUAGUUCCCUUACUGGCUUCUCAUCCUCCCUCUCUUUCUCUUAUUCUCUCUUCCUCCUUUCCUUUUUAUUAAGCACCUAAAAUACGCAAAUAAAAAUUUGUGACCAAAUUUACAAAGAAAGAAAAUACAAGUUUUAUUCUUAAGAAACUCCAAGUCUAUUGGAGGAAACAGAUGUAUAAAACACAUAAGCAGAUUAUCCCAGUGCAGCAUGAUAAAGAUUUAGUACCAAUUACGUAGAGCCCAAAAAAAGGUUCCCUGAGUUAUCUGGGGUGAAAGUGGGGUUCUAACUUGUCCUUUGAAGAUGUCUGGGAGAGAAAAACAGAGUGGUUCAUCCCCUGGUGAAUGUUUGAUGAAAGCGAGCUUUGUGAAGAAGGUACAACUAGCUGUUCUUCCAAAACACAUGGCUAAUUGGAUAAUUGAGGAGAGUGAACGAUUACCAAAUCUUCGUAUCUGACUUUUAAAAGAACUUUUAUGCUUAUGUUUGCAUCUGGCAGUGCCAUCCUAGAAAGUCUUAGCUCUUUAAAUCAAAUGAAGGUCUAAUUUAGAAGGGACUGAGCAAGAUCUCCUCUCACAGAAUUUCAUUUCCUGCAGGAAUGCAGAGUAUCAAUUUCCAGACGGAAUCCAAAAUCCAGGCUAAGUUCUGCUGCAUAAAUAGCAAUUACAUGAUUAAGAGUUUUGGCUUAAAAGACAUUCCAUGUGUUUAAUUUGUACAGGCCCAUAGGUUACACUAAUUUCAAAAAUCAUUUUUCAUAUCACAUCUAACCAUCAACCCUAAUCAGUUCUCAAGCCCAGGGGGAAGCUACUAUUAUCCCCAUUUUACUGCAAAGUAUCUGAUGUUUGGGGAGGUUAAAUGCUUGUGUUAACACCACUAGUCUGAGUAUGAAAAAACUGGAAGUUGCCUUUCUUUCAGUUCUGCUCUCCACAUGUGGAGCAGACAAAAGAGGAGACUGAGAGACUGAAAUGGGUUAAGGUCGGGGGUCCCAGGAACUAGCACCUGGCAGGUCAUUAAGUGACAACUACUGACAUAUUGACAAAGAAAUGGGCCCUUUGGGCCAUGUGAGAAUUAUAUAUGUUACGACAAACAAGAAAACUUCACAAUACUAUAGAAUUCACCCAUUCAGUCACCUGAAAAAUAUUUUAAAAUAUCCUACUGUAUACAAGAACCUCUUGUAGACACUGGGGUAUAGCAGUGAACAAAAAAGACAAAAAUCUACUUUCAUCAGGUCACAGCCCAGAAUUGGGAGUGAGAUAACAAACAAAUAUAUAGUAUGUGAGGUGCAGGCAAGUUUGGUGGAGAACACUAAAGCUGAGACGGGUGGCAGGGGUGUUAUUUUAAAUAGAGGAGCCAGGAAGGGCUAAUAAGGUGAGAACUAAAGGAGUGACCAUCUGGUCUGGGAAAGCUGUUGUAGGCAGAGGGGAUAGCAGGCACAAAGGCAUUGGGGUGGGAGCCAGCCUGAUGGGUUUGAGUCACAGCCAGGAGCCAGUUUGCAGGGUAGAGGGAGCACAGUGAGGAGCUAAGGAAAUGAGGUCAGCAAGGUGACAGGGCCGGUCCCUGGGGCCUGCUGACGUUGGUCUUUGCACUCCACUCACGUGGUGCAGAGGACCGAUGUAAGCUAUUAUAUUUCAGCAGGUUCAUUCUGACAACUACAUUGAGACUAUGCCGAAAGGGCCAAGGGCUGCAAAAAAGAUACCUGUUAGGAGGUCACUGUGUUAGUCAGGGGAGGGAGACAGUUCAAUGAACCAAAAUGAUGAUUCGCAAUAUGAGACAUGUGAUGUUGUCAUGGACAUCAGUGUCUCUGUCUGGAAGAUGCCUACCCACUCUCUUCUGUUUCGUCUUCAGCUCCUGGAUAUUGGCGUUCUGCUGAUCCUUCAUACUUCACAUUUCACUGCACUGAUUACCUGAACUCUGUAAGAGAUUUUGGACUCCAAAUCAAAAGAUCAAAGCGUCUCGGGUUCGCCAUUUGAUCUUGGCUUCUGAGGGCUCAUUUGUAGAGUGUUUUUGCACCCAGGAAAGAGCGUUGUGAGUUGCUGAGUCAGCCUUCACCUGUUGUGUUUUUGUGCAUCGCAGCUUUGGCUUGAUGGCCAAGGGAAGGAAUUAGUAUGGAGGGAAGCAUCUGUGUGGGAUCCAGGAAAAGUAAGAGCAGGUGGAGAGAGAGGUUACAGACCUGGAAAACUUUCCUAGUUGCUUAGAAGCGUGGCCUUCCGGUCAACACAUAGAGUUAAAGAAAGCUACAGCCACCGCAGUGAGUACUUUCUGGUUACCAAGGCAAGCUCCUCCCACCCCCCAUUGCCACCUUUUUUAUUUUCCCUAGAUAGCAGAAUCAAAGUGGAUAGAAUUACUUUGUGCAUAUAUCCCAGUCACAUGUUUUCAUUUUUCCCAAGAAAAGCUGUACUGGAUUGAGUCAUGUCCUCAUAAUUUAGGUUCACCCAGAAUCUCAGAAUGUGACUUUAUUUAGAAAUAGGGUCUUUGCCGAUAUAAUUUAAGAUAAUAUCAAACUAGACUAGGACAGGCUCUGAAUCCACUAUCAGACAAGAAGAAGACACAGGGAACAGAGAAGACACACAGGUAGAACCCCACAUGAAGGUGGAGGCCAACAUCAGAAUGAUGUGCCAACAAGCCAAGCAACAGGAAGGAUGGCCCAUGGCCACCAGAAGCUAGAGAGAGCCAUGAAACAGAUUCUCCCCUAGAGGUCCCAGAAGGCAGCAGCCCUGCCCACACCACGAUUUCAGA